UACGAAGGGGGCGAGCGUUGUUCGGAUUUACUGGGCGUAAAGGGCGCGCAGGCGGCUCAUUUUGUCAGGCGUGAAAGCCCCGGGCUUAACCUGGGAACUGCGUUUGAUACGGAUGGGCUAGAGUUCGGGAGAGGAGAGUGGAAUUCCCAGUGUAGAGGUGAAAUGCGUAGAGAUCAGGAGGAACACCGGUGGCGAAGGCGGCCCACUGGGCAGUCACUGACGCUGAGGCGCGAAAGCUCGGGGAGCGAACGGG
rnacentral:rRNA from 1 species